UAACGCCUGCGGUAUUCGUGAUCUUAAUUUGUUCCAGAACUGUUUUUAGAAAAGAGAAUCGAGCCAUCAGUGGCGCUCAAGCCGGACAUGAUUCGGAUUUGUUAAGCUGAUCCUAAGGUAGAUACUCACCUUAUUUCUGGUUCGAGAACACUUUUUACACGGUAUCGCGGGUUAAAU
rnacentral:other from 1 species